UGGCUUUGACAAUCUGGAAGAAUGAAGCCAAAAUGCUUGUGUGUUUUCCUGGUGUGCUUGGUAGGCGUGCAAGCUGCUUGGUGGAAUGUGUGGCCUAAAUGCUGGAAACGCAAAGCCGUCGGUCACUGUUCUCAGAAGAUACCAUCGUGGUACUACAGUUUCUGGAGUGGCAAUUGCAAAGGUUUCCUAUACAGUGGCUGCGGCGGAAACUCAAAUCGAUUCAGUUCAGAAGGGGAAUGCCAAAAAGCGUGCACACGUCGUCACAAAAAUCGGGAAGUCUGCAGCUUGAAGGC